rnacentral:rRNA from 1 species
CCUACGGGUGGCAGCAGUGGGGAAUAUUGGACAAUGGGGGCAACCCUGAUCCAGCCAUGCCGCGUGUGUGAAGAAGGCCCUCGGGUUGUAAAGCACUUUCAGUGAGGAAGAACGCCUGGUGGUUAAUACCCAUCAGGAAAGACAUCACUCACAGAAGAAGCACCGGCUAACUCCGUGCCAGCAGCCGCGGUAAUACGGAGGGUGCGAGCGUUAAUCGGAAUUACUGGGCGUAAAGCGCGCGUAGGUGGCUGGAUAAGCCGGUUGUGAAAGCCCCGGGCUCAACCUGGGAACGGCAUCCGGAACUGUCAAGCUAGAGUGCAGGAGAGGAAGGUAGAAUUCCCGGUGUAGCGGUGAAAUGCGUAGAGAUCGGGAGGAAUACCAGUGGCGAAGGCGGCCUUCUGGACUGACACUGACACUGAGGUGCGAAAGCGUGGGUAGCAAACAGGAUUAGAUACCCUUGUAGUC